rnacentral:rRNA from 1 species
GUAGGUGGUAAGCGUUGUCCGGAAUUAUUGGGCGUAAAGUGCGCGCAGGUGGUCUUUAAGUCUGAUGUGAAAGCCCCCGGGCUCAACCGGGGAGGGUCAUUGGAAACUGGGGAACUUGAGUGCAGGAGAGGAAAGUGGAAUUCCACGUGUAGCGGUGAAAUGCGUAGAUAUGUGGAGGAACACCAGUGGCGAAGGCGACUUUCUGGCCUGUAACUGACACUGAGGCGCGAAAGCGUGGGGAGCAAACAGGAUUAGAUACCCUGGUAGUCCACGCCGUAAACGAUGAGUGCUAAGUGUUGGGGGGUUUCCGCCCCUCAGUGCUGCAGCUAACGCAUUAAGCACUCCGCCUGGGGAGUACGGUCGCAAAGACUG